CUCUGCAUUCUUAAAAAAUUAGGGAUAUCUUCAACCAUCGAUCUUCUAGCUAGGGAAUUAGCAGGGAAUAUUUCUCUUCAACGGCGGCACUCGACAGCAGUGCUCGACGGCGGUGCUCGGUGGCGGGGCUCGACGGUGGUGCUCGGCGGUGGGGCUCGACGGUGGUUCUCGACGGCGGUACUCGACGGUGGUGCUCGACGGUGGUGCUCGGCGGCGGAGCUCGGCGGUGCAACUGACUUUGAAGCUUAAUAUCAACUAUAUCAUCUGCCAUAUUUCUCGAUUUUCUAUGGUAAAGUUCCUAUUUUUUAUUUCUUUGCUGUUAGUAGGAAUUAUGUAAUUCCUGGAUCUUUCUUUUUUUCUUUUUUUUUUUUUUAUAUUUUUAUUUGAUAGUUAAUUUCAUUAUGUGUCUUAGAAGGUCAUAGUUUAAAUUACUUGUAUGUUCUAUUUUUACUAAAUUAUUACAACAAAUUUGGAUGUAGAUUAAAUGGAUAUUGUUCAUAGAAAACGUUCAUGAGGGGAAAUGGAAAAAGAUGAAGAAGAGAUAGAAAUUAUUAUGUGUUUGUUCAGCUCUUUAAUUGGUAUAAUUGGAGCUUGGCAUCAUGGCAAGUACUUAGCGAAAGACUUAUUAUUGAACGAAAAUGACGAUAGAGUUUACAAAAGAAAACUUUGGAUGAGAUCUUUAUGUCAUGAUCCAACAUGCUUGAAGCAAUUACGGGUAAAUAAUAGAUUGCUUAAUGGAUUGUGUAACGUGUUGCAAAAGGAUGGUGGACUGGUAGCAACAAAGAAUGUGACGAUAAAAGAAAUUGUGGCACUUUUCUUGCAUAUUCUUGGUCAUGAUAAAAAAAAUAGCACUAUUGCAACCACGUUUGUACGCUCGGGUGAAACUGUGAGUAGACAAUUUCAUAUCGUUUUGCAAGCCGUGUUAAAAAUUGGAAAGCUCUAUCUCAAUCACCAAAGGAAUGAAUUAUUCCACAAAAGAGAUGCUGAGAGAUGGAAAUGGUUUCCGUGGGAGCCUUAGAUGGUACAUUUGUUGGGCUCACAGUUUCAGCUGUAGAACGAAGUAGAUACCGAAACAGAAAAGGCAUGAUAAGUACAAAUGUUUUAGGAGUUUGUGAUGCUAACUUAAAAAUCAUCUAUGUUCUACCUGGAUAGAAGGGGUCUACUUCAGAUGCACGAGUUUUGCGUGAUGCUUUACAAAGAACUAAUGGCUUAAAAUUUUACAAGAGUAGGUCUAAUUUCUUUGGUAAAUAAAAAUUUCAUUUAUUUUUAUUUAGUUUCUAAAUCCUCUAAUUUUAUAAACUGUCGGACAAGUAUUAUCUUGUGGAUGCGGGUUACACAAAUGGGCCGGGUUUUCUUGCACCAUACAGAAAAACUCGUUACCAUCUUAAUUUGUGCAGAGGAAAUACUCCAAUAAAUUAUAAAGAAUUUUACAAUCUUCGACACUCUUCUGCAAGAAAUGCAAUUGAAAGAACUUUCGGCUUGUUAAAGAAAAGAUGGGCGAUUUUGCGUACCGCAAGCUUCUAUAGCGUAAAGACACGAAUUAGAAUCAUCAAUGCUUGUUGUAUUUUACACAACUUUUUGCGCGGUGAGAUGCCCAUAGACCCUCUCUUGGAUGAAGUUGAUCGAGAAUUAGAGAACACUAGACCAGAUGAUGAUGAUUUGGACGUAGAAGAAGAAGAACAACAACAACAAAUAAGAACUGUCAAGACUACAAAUGAAUGGACAAUGUUUCGUGAUAAUUUGGCACAACAAAUGUUUCAGGAUUAUCAAGCUCGCAGAAGAUAGCUCAAUUUUUUUUACUUAUUAAUUUUUUAUUGGGAUAAUAAUUAUUUAGUGGUUAUUUUUCUUUAUGACUUUAAAUUUUAAAUUUUUGGCUCAAUAAUUAGAAUGUUUUUUUUUUUUUGGUUUGUCAUGGUUUGCGCAAAGUUUGACAUAAAUAUUUAUGUGAAAUCCUUUAUGAAGUAAUUUGAUUGUGAUGUAUUUUUUAUAAAA